CCUACGGGCGGCAGCAGUGAGGAAUAUUGGUCAAUGGGCGGAAGCCUGAACCAGCCAAGUCGCGUGAGGGAUUAAGGCCCUGCGGGUCGUAAACCUCUUUUGCCGGGGAGCAGUGGUCCGGACGCGUCCGGACCGGGAGAGUACCCGGAGAAAAAGCAUCGGCUAACUCCGUGCCAGCAGCCGCGGUAAUACGGAGGAUGCGAGCGUUAUCCGGAUUUAUUGGGUUUAAAGGGUGCGUAGGCGGUUCGAUAAGUUAGAGGUGAAAUCCCGGGGCUCAACUCCGGCACUGCCUCUGAUACUGUCGGGCUAGAGUUUAGUUGCGGUAGGCGGAAUGUAUGGUGUAGCGGUGAAAUGCAUAGAGAUCAUACAGAACACCGAUUGCGAAGGCAGCUUACCAAACUACGACUGACGUUGAGGCACGAAAGCGUGGGGAGCAAACAGGAUUAGAUACCCGUGUAGUC
rnacentral:rRNA from 1 species